GAUGAAGAACGUAGCGAAAUGCGAAAAGUAAUGUGAAUUGCAGAAUUCAGUGAAUCAUCGAAUCUUUGAACGCACAUUGCGCCCGCCAGUAUUCUGGCGGGCAUGCCUGUCUGAGCGUCAUUAAGUCCACUUAAGCCCUGCUUAGUGUUGGGAGACUGCUCCAGCGGUGCUACCCUGUAGCUACCCUGCAGCUCCUCAAAGACAGCGGCGGAGUUGUGGUAUCCUCUGAGCUUAGUAACUUGUUCUAGCUUUCGAGUACACCACUUCCCCUGCCGUAAAACCCUUAAUUUUUAAUGGUUGACCUCGGAUCAGGUAGGAAUACCCGCUGAACUUAAGCAUAUCAAUAAGCGGAGGA
rnacentral:misc_RNA from 1 species